rnacentral:rRNA from 1 species
UACGGGGGUGCAAGCGUUGUUCGGAAUUAUUGGGCGUAAAGCGCGUGUAGGCGGUUUGAUUAGUCUGAUGUGAAAGCCCUGGGCUCAACCCAGGAAGUGCAUUGGAUACUGUCAGACUUGAAUACGGGAGAGGGUAGUGGAAUUCCUAGUGUAGGAGUGAAAUCCGUAGAUAUUAGGAGGAACACCGGUGGCGAAGGCGGCUACCUGGACCGAUACUGACGCUGAGACGCGAAAGCGUGGGUAGCAAACAGG